GGGAGAUUGAUUUAGCCUGUGAUGCAGCAGCGCCAGUGGCCGCAGACCUGGGCGGGGAACCUUUUCCAGAAAGCCCUUUCCCUACGCUCCCUGAUGCGGUCCGAGCGGGCUGCCAGGCCCAUGCGUUCCCAGAGCAGGCCCACCUGAACCGCCCUCGCCCACAGCGUCGCUGCUGAAGCUGUGGUACCGGGAACUGGAGGAGCCCCUGAUCCCGCACGAGUUCUACGAGCAGUGCAUCGCUCACUAUGAGAGUCCCGAGGCCGCCGUGGCCGUGGUGCACGCGCUGCCUCGCAUCAAUCGCAUGGUGCUGUGCUACCUCAUCCGCUUCCUUCAGGUACCCGCGCCUUGCCCCGCCCGCGUCCCCGCGUCCCCGCGCCCCCUGCCUGCUCCCCGGCCCUGUGCUCCACCCACCGCGCCCCGCGCCCCCGGCCUCUGGUCCGCCCGCCACGCCCUCCGCUCCUCCCCUCCGCAGGUGUUCGUGCAGCCUGCCAACGUGGCCAUCACCAAGAUGGACGUCAGCAACCUGGCCAUGGUGAUGGCGCCCAACUGCCUGCGCUGCCAGUCGGAUGACCCGCGCGUCAUCUUCGAGAACACACGCAAGGAGAUGUCCUUCCUGCGCGUACUCAUCCAGCACCUGGACACCAGCUUUAUGGAGGGCGUGCUAUAGCACGCGGGCACCACGGACGGCGGGCUGCGCGGCGCACGCGGGAGCGGGGGCCCCGCCGGGGCAGCAUGCCAGGCCCCGCCGGCCCCGAGAAGUGCCUUCUGUUCCCCGGAGCCGAGCGACACUGCCCUCCCGGCUGGCCGCGGCCCACGCCGCGCGGCCUCUCCGCUCCAGAGCCCCGGCUGCCCGCCGCCAGGCCGCGGUUCUCCUGCGCGGGGAGGGCCCCGAACCAAAGUCCUCGCGGCGGGCAGGGCCGGGCAGGCACUCUUGGGGCGGGGGGAGAGUAUUUUUUUCGUGGUGUACCUACGAGUCCAGAUUCCAUCCCGCACCCCGCCCUCUUGUGCAUAGAGAUAUAAAUAGAGCGACAGACGUCGGGACUAAAUUUGCUAAGGACAUAGUUCUAACCAGAUGCUAUUUAUCUCUGAGCCGUCCUCACCGCCCUCGUGCAGAGCACUCGCACCCUCCUUCCUUACCCGCAGCUCCCGACCCAACCCCGCGCCGCGCGGCGGCUGGGCCGGACUCGCCUGCGUUCCCGUUAUGGAAUCAGUUCCAACUGUUGUCAAACUUAAUUUCUCCCGGUUUUUAUAUAUAUAUUUUUUAGAGUUGAGUUUUUAUUUAUUAUUAAAACAAAACAGCCAGCCCUGCCGAGCCGGCCCCUGAGCGGGCCACAGACGUGCUCUGACACGUGGACCGAGGGACCGCUUUUCGUGUGAAUAAAGUUCGUGUGGACACUCGCGCGCCGCUUCGGG
rnacentral:lncRNA from 1 species